AUGAAGACCCUCAUGAGCACAUUAGUAAUGUUCUGGAGUAUGCCAAUACAGUCCAGUAUCAUGGCGUUUCCCAAGAUGCUAUCAAGUGUAUGUUGUUCACAUUCUCUCUCAGAGAUGCUGCAAGGACUGAUCCUCAGUUUUGCGCAAGAUGGUAGUGAGAGCUUGUAUGCAGCUUGGGAGAGAUGUAAGUAUUUGCUUAGAAAAUGUCCUAAUCAUGGGCAAAAGGAUUGGUUAGUGCUUCAGAUAUUCUAUAGAGGGCUAACACAUGCUUCAAGAGAUCUUAUUGAUAUGUCAGCUGGUGGAACAAUCAUGAACAAGGCCGUUGAGGGUGCAAUUAUUCUCAUUGAGAGCAUUGCCUUCCACCAAAUACAAUGGGGUUAUGAAAGGCCUAGUUCAAAUCCGAAGGUUGCAAGCCUCGUGCAAUCAGAAGCUGUGUGUUCCAUAAGUGAACAGAAAUCAUCCAUGGUGCCUAAUAUUCAAAACCAGCAUGUUUCAUUCCGGGGACAACAACAUUUCAGAACUGAAUUAGAUCCUCCAUAUAGAAACAUUGAUCUUACUUCAAUUAUCCUUGAUGAUGAUUAUGAUAUUUUCCAAGAUGAUGCAACCACUGUAGAUCAGAUGGAUACCACAGUAGCAGAUCCAAUACCUCAUGGCAAUGAAACUGUUCAGAAUGAGUCAAAGUUGCAAGAAGAGGUUUAUGAGGAACCUACUCUGAUUGACGCUAAGUUGAGACAGCAAGAUAUGGAGAAAUUCACUUAUGUUAGUCAGCUAUCUGACUGGUGGAAUUCAGUCGUGUCACCAAUUGCCCACACUUGUGUUACAACUGUAUCUGGACUAUUUGUCAAGAAGAAAUCAUUAGAUCCACCAGUGGUUACCUCUAUCACAGUUAAAGAGAGUAUCUCAGAGAAGAAUAGUGAAGAUGAGAUUCCAACUCCUGCACAUACAAUUAAGCAAGUCGGAGACAUUCCAAGGAGAGAGAUACAAGAGGUUGAGUCAAAUUUAGAAGAGCUGAUACUUCAAUAUCCUGAGAAGAUCCCAUGUGUUGCUGAGCUGCAUGACUGGUGGAAGUCAUCGGUGUCACUGUUGAAACUUAGCAAUGAUGGUGAUGAGGAGAACAUUGCUCAGAAAGACAGCGAGGUAGUGAUCUCAGCACCCCUACCAGAUCAUGUUAGUGAAUAUUCAUAG
rnacentral:rRNA from 1 species